CCUACGGGAGGCAGCAGUGGGGAAUAUUGGGCAAUGGGCGCAAGCCUGACCCAGCAACGCCGCGUGAAGGAAGAAGGCUUUCGGGUUGUAAACUUCUUUUAUCAGGGACGAAGCAAGUGACGGUACCUGAUGAAUAAGCCACGGCUAACUACGUGCCAGCAGCCGCGGUAAUACGUAGGUGGCAAGCGUUAUCCGGAUUUACUGGGUGUAAGGGGCGUGUAGGCGGGAGUGCAAGUCAGAAGUGAAAACUAUGGGCCCAACCCAUAGCCUGCAUUUGAAACUGUACUUCUUGAGUGCUGGAGAGGCAAUCGGAAUUCCGUGUGUAGCGGUGAAAUGCGUAGAUAUACGGAGGAACACCAGUGGCGAAGGCGGAUUGCUGGACAGUAACUGACGCUGAGGCGCGAAAGCGUGGGGAGCAAACAGGAUUAGAUACCCGGGUAGUC
rnacentral:rRNA from 1 species